rnacentral:rRNA from 1 species
AGAGUUUGAUCCUGGCUCAGGAUGAACGCUAGCUACAGGCUUAACACAUGCAAGUCGAGGGGAAACGAUAUUGGAAGCUUGCUUCCGAUAGGCGUCGACCGGCGCACGGGUGAGUAACGCGUAUCCAACCUGCCCACCACUUGGGGAUAACCUUGCGAAAGUAAGACUAAUACCCGAUGAUAUCUCUAGAAGACAUCUGAAAGAGAUUAAAGAUUUAUCGGUGAUGGAUGGGGAUGCGUCUGAUUAGCUUGUUGGCGGGGUAACGGCCCACCAAGGCGACGAUCAGUAGGGGUUCUGAGAGGAAGGUCCCCCACAUUGGAACUGAGACACGGUCCAAACUCCUACGGGAGGCAGCAGUGAGGAAUAUUGGUCAAUGGACGAGAGUCUGAACCAGCCAAGUAGCGUGAAGGAUGACUGCCCUAUGGGUUGUAAACUUCUUUUAUAUGGGAAUAAAGUAUUCCACGUGUGGGAUUUUGUAUGUACCAUAUGAAUAAGGAUCGGCUAACUCCGUGCCAGCAGCCGCGGUAAUACGGAGGAUCCGAGCGUUAUCCGGAUUUAUUGGGUUUAAAGGGAGCGUAGGCGGACGCUUAAGUCAGUUGUGAAAGUUUGCGGCUCAACCGUAAAAUUGCAGUUGAUACUGUCAGUCUUGAGUACAGUAGAGGUGGGCGGAAUUCGUGGUGUAGCGGUGAAAUGCUUAGAUAUCACGAAGAACUCCGAUUGCGAAGGCAGCUCACUGGAGCGCAACUGACGCUGAAGCUCGAAAGUGCGGGUAUCGAACAGGAUUAGAUACCCUGGUAGUCCGCACGGUAAACGAUGGAUGCCCGCUGUUGGUCUGAAUAGGUCAGCGGCCAAGCGAAAGCAUUAAGCAUCCCACCUGGGGAGUACGCCGGCAACGGUGAAACUCAAAGGAAUUGACGGGGGCCCGCACAAGCGGAGGAACAUGUGGUUUAAUUCGAUGAUACGCGAGGAACCUUACCCGGGCUUGAAUUGCAGAGGAAGGAUUUGGAGACAAUGACGCCCUUUGGGGUCUCUGUGAAGGUGCUGCAUGGUUGUCGUCAGCUCGUGCCGUGAGGUGUCGGCUUAAGUGCCAUAACGAGCGCAACCCCUCUCCUUAGUUGCCAUCAGGUGAAGCUGGGCACUCUGGGGACACUGCCACCGUAAGGUGUGAGGAAGGUGGGGAUGACGUCAAAUCAGCACGGCCCUUACG